GUCUUCAUGGAGUAGUGGUCAGCACGCUGGGCACAUAUUCCAGAAGUCUGUGGUUCGAGUCCCAGCAAAGGCA
rnacentral:tRNA from 1 species